rnacentral:rRNA from 1 species
UUAAUUAUAGUUAAAUAGUAUUGUGAAAGAAAAUUGAAAUAAUUUGAAAAAUUAAUAUUUUAAAAGAAAAUUUAAUUUAUUGUACCUUGUGUAUCAGGGUUUAUUAAUUAAAAAUUAUUUACUAUAAUUUUCUCGAUUUUAAAAGAGUUAAUAUAUUAUAAAAGUUAAUGUGACAAAAUUAUUUUAUAUAGUAUAUUAGAAAUGAAAUGUUAUUCGUUUUUAAAGGUAUCUAGUUCUUUAAGAAAUAAAUUUAAUUUAGAAAUAUUAUAUUAUUUAGUUAAAUGUAUUAAUUAAAUAAUUAUUUUAUUUUAAUAUUUUAUGGGAUAAGCUGUGAAAUAAAUUAUUAAAAAUUUUUAAAUAGUUUAAUAAAUAUAAGCUUAGAAAUAGUUAUUAUUAAUGAAAUUGUUAUAAUUUAUUUUAUAAUAUUUAUUAUUUAUUAAAUUUUAAUUAUGUAUUAGAGUAUUUAUUUUAAUUUAAAAAAUAAAAAAAUAAUGAUAAAAUUAGUAUAUUAUGAUGUAUAAAUAUGUGAAAUUGAUAAGUUUUUAUAAAGAACUCGGCAAAAAUAAUGUU